CUGGUCUUCAGAAGUCCUGGACAUGUCAUUUUGGUCUCAAGUCCUGGACAUGUAUGAAAUGCAUUUUACAAGGGAAAUCAAUUAUGUUCAGACCCAAACUUCAAUUCCUCUUUACUGCCAUUCCCCACAACAACCAUUUCAACACCUAAGGCACCAAAGUAUUAGUAGCCAAUCUCUAACCCCAACUGGAAUCAAAAUAGAACAUGCUCUAAGCCUUACCAUGAUUAAUUCCCUGCAUGACCAAAUCAGCAGCUCUCUUCCUCUCCAAAACUUGUUGUUGUAGAUCCCUAAAUCUCAUGCAUAUGCCCAAAAUCGACGAAGACACAGUACUCCACACCUCAUAGAUACCAAAACAGCUGAUAAUUCAGUUCAAUACAGAGGCUUCAACUAAGAAAAGGAAGACGGGGGUUACCUAUCAAAUACUGAGAGCGGUGGAGCUAGGGUGGAGUCAUGGCGGCUCUGAUCGGAACUAGAGAUCUAGACUGGCCUCGCCUCGC
rnacentral:lncRNA from 1 species